rnacentral:rRNA from 1 species
UACGUAGGGCGCAAGCGUUGUCCGGAAUUAUUGGGCGUAAAGAGCUCGUAGGUGGCGUGUCGCGUCUGCCGUGAAAGCCCAUGGCUUAACUGUGGGUCUGCGGUGGAUACGGGCAGCUGGAGGCUGGUAGGGGCAAGCGGAAUUCCUGGUGUAGCGGUGAAAUGCGCAGAUAUCAGGAGGAACACCGGUGGCGAAGGCGGGUCUCUGGGCCGAUACUGACGCUGAGGAGCGAAAGCGUGGGGAGCGAACAGG